UACGUAGGGUGCGAGCGUUGUCCGGAAUUACUGGGCGUAAAGAGCUCGUAGGUGGUUUGUCGCGUUGUUCGUGAAAUCUCACGGCUUAACUGUGAGCGUGCGGGCGAUACGGGCAGACUAGAGUACUGCAGGGGAGACUGGAAUUCCUGGUGUAGCGGUGGAAUGCGCAGAUAGUCGGGAGGAACACCGGUGGCGAAGGCGGGUCUCUGGGCCGAUACUGACACUGAGGAGCGAAAGCGUGGGGAGCGAACAGG
rnacentral:rRNA from 1 species